GCUUGCAAUACAUGAUGUGAUCACCUGGGAUGUAUUAGAGAGCUCAAAAAGUAUUUGAGGUGAAUUCUAGCCUGCCUGACUUCUCUUAGGGAGAAGCUAAAUAGAUAUAUCCCAGCUUUCAGAUAUUUAAGCUACUCUGCUUCAUGGAGAUUACUUAAAUCAAAUAAUUAAUUGUUAAGAGAAAAGCUACUUUCCUUACUAAUCAAACUUCAUCCUAAAGAUGCAUCUUAAUGAAUGGGCUAAGUCAACUCGUUGUUCUAGUUACCAGUCAUGGAAUAUUCUUUCUGCUGUGAUACACAUAGAAAGAAGGUUCAUGUUGGACUGUUCUGUAAAAUCUUUCCAUGAAAUGCUAGAACUUUAGUGUUUGCUCCAGGAAAAGGAUCACUGAAUGUGCCGAGAAUGCUGCUUCAAAUGCUGCAGUGUAUAAAGGGGAAAAUACACAUCACAACUCCUCAUGGCUGUGGGCCUGAAGAACAGAAAUUCCCAAGCUUCUUUUGGCAUUACUUUUCGCCCUUAGAUAAGCAGCUUGAAUUCU
rnacentral:lncRNA from 1 species